rnacentral:rRNA from 1 species
GAUGAACGCUGGCGGCGUGCCUAAUACAUGCAAGUCGAGCGAACAGAUAAGGAGCUUGCUCCUUUGACGUUAGCGGCGGACGGGUGAGUAACACGUGGGUAACCUACCUAUAAGACUGGGAUAACUUCGGGAAACCGGAGCUAAUACCGGAUAACAUUUGGAACCGCGUGGUUCUAAAGUGAAAGAUGGUUUUGCUAUCACUUAUAGAUGGACCCGCGCCGUAUUAGCUAGUUGGUAAGGUAACGGCUUACCAAGGCAACGAUACGUAGCCGACCUGAGAGGGUGAUCGGCCACACUGGAACUGAGACACGGUCCAGACUCCUACGGGAGGCAGCAGUAGGGAAUCUUCCGCAAUGGGCGAAAGCCUGACGGAGCAACGCCGCGUGAGUGAUGAAGGGUUUCGGCUCGUAAAACUCUGUUAUUAGGGAAGAACAAACGUGUAAGUAACUGUGCACGUCUUGACGGUACCUAAUCAGAAAGCCACGGCUAACUACGUG